UAAAUUUAUCAGUUUCUGUAAAGAAAAUUCAGCUGAGCAGUUUGGACAUGUUACAUUUAAAAAUAGCAAAAAAAUGUAUAUAUUUGUGUUUUAUAAAAACUUCAUGAUUUUGUACAUGAGUUUUUCUGAGAAUUUUUUUCCCUUUGCAUGUGAUUUAAUUGCAUGCUUCUAAACUUUCAAUUUAUGUCCAUUAAAUUUUCGGAGGGGAAAAAUUUAAUUAUUAAUUAAGAAUUUAAAAUGUUCUGAUAAUAUAUUUUGUUGAUUUUAUGUUUAUCUUCUGAAAGAAGAAUUUGUAAUGUUGCAUUAUAUUUAAUUUUAAAGGUGAAUGACAUUCAAAUAAUUAAUUGCUUUUAUUCUUCAUAUUGAAAUAUAAGUAUACUGAAUAUCUUUUUAUUUUUUUCGGUUAGAAGUUUAUAAAUUGCUUGUUUAAUUAGAAGAUUUGUUUAUAUUAUAACAAUAAGAAUAUGUGUUGUAUAUUUUAAUUUCAAUAAUUUUUUUUAAUGAAGGCAUAUUAUACUCAUUUUGUGUGAUAGGAAUUUGCCUCUUUAACACCAUAAAGCAACAUCAAAAAGUUUCCUGUUUAUCCUUUUCCUUAUUUUAAAAUAUAUUUAAAGGCUGAGGUUUAACAUGCUUGGUUGUUGAACAGUUGAAUUAAAAAAAAUAUUUUCAUAUUUACUUGUAUAGUUAAAAUGAUAAACAGGUAUGGAAAAAGUUCUUAGCAUACAACAGAUGAGAGUUUGUUCUUACAUUUCUACAUUCAUUAAAAAUGAUUUUUCAUUAAAUUUAGAAUUUGCUAUCAGAUGAAAUUCAAUCAAGGAAUUUAGAUAUUGUGUAUUUUUUAUAAAAAUACAUGAAUUCCAUCCAUAAUUAUUUUAUGUGUACAUUUUCAAAAAUUAUUCAUUAUUAUUAUCAACGUUGUUGGCUUUGUUUUUUCUUGCCCUCUGUGUCUGACUGAAACUUAUGAUGAGAUAUCUCAUUUCUUAUUACUUGAAAUCUACUAUUUUCGUGAGUCCUUCAGUUACACUUUUUAAAUAAUCACAUCACUAUUAGUUAGAUCUUGAAAAUUACUUAUUUUAUAACUUUUUUUUUUUUUCAUAAGGACAAGCAAGAAUCUCAUGACAGGACAUUUAAGCUAUAAGAUGAUAUUUAUAUUUAUUCUCUCAGUUUGAAACACAUUAAUAGCAUAUUUUAUUUUCUUCUGAAUAUAAAUUUGGGAAUAAAACAUGUUUGGAGAAUUACCUACUAACAUUGUUAUCAGUUCACUAGAUAACACAGAAAUUUGACUGUUUAACAACCUAUUUAUGUAAAUGCCUGAAAUGGAAAUUUUAAUUCUGAAUAGAUGGAAUUCCAUACUAUCAUAGUUCACUUUUCCCAUUUAUUAAUACAGUUCUUGAGUUUUUGAAUAAAAUUUAAUGUGGUUGCUUUUUACAUUCAGAAAUUCAGUUAUGACUUUAAUUUAUUCUCUUUUCACAUUUUUUAAUUCUAAAAUACAAGAUGAAUUUAUAUGUUGCUUUAAUAAAAAAAUUGGGGAACUAAAAAUUUAUUUGAAUUUUGGAAAGCAUAAUUUAAAAAUCUAAUCUGCAUUAAAUAUCGUAAGCAUUUUACUAUCUUGGAUAUUUAAAUAGACUUUCAAAUUUGUUUUAUACGUUUCUUUUAGUAAUGCUGCAUUAUUCUUUAAUCCUUUAUAUUAUAUUUUAUUUUAGGUGUACUAUCUUGCAAGACUUGUAAAAGGAUAUUCCAUCCAGGGCAUUCAUUAUUCAAACAUGAUUCGGAAUAUUGUGCACGCUGUUCUGCAGGAUAUGUUUGUCAAUUUUGCAGUUAUUUUACUGAUGUCAAAGCAAAUUUUUCAAGACAUAUGAUGAGACAUACUGGAGAACGUCCUUUUAAAUGCAAGUUGUGCGAUAAGGGAUUCAUAACAAAUUACCACUUAAAUUAUCAUCUCAGAACGCAUCACUAUUCUUUAUCAAUUAAAAAGUACAAUGUUCUUAUCAAAUGGAAGAUGGAGGACCUCCUUUCUUUUACAGAAUAAAAUUCAAAUUCAUCGCUUUCAUUGCUCACAAUGCUCUUAUUCAUCAGAUAGAAAAUACCACCUAUUGCGUCAUCAACUCAUUCAUUCUGGUGAACGCCCAUAUAAAUGUUCAUUCUGCGGCAAAGGAUUCACCACUAAACAAAACUGUGAAACUCAUAAAAUGACUCACCGCCAUGAUCAAGCUCAUUGUUGCUCAAUUUGUUCUGAACAGUUUUCAUCACCAAGAGCUCUACAAAGGCAUAUCUCAACCCAUUUACUGUGAUUUAAAAAUGCCAAAGUUUUACAUAAUGUAUUAUACUCUAAGGGAAUAUUUUAUAUUAUUUAUUUAAUGUUAUAUAGAAUGAUUUAUUUCAAUCAAAAAUGUUGUUGUAAUUGUUUUCAAAACUGCUAUGUUUACAGGGUAUAUUUACGACUGUGGAUACCACAAGAAAUAAAAUGUUAUAGAAUGAA